ensembl:lncRNA
GCCUCGCUAAACGAUGCACACCUGUAACUCACGUGACCCUGAUUAUUAUUGAAACGAGAACGAGGGCGUCGUGCCUUUAUAAGACUGCGUUAAUGGCGUUAAUGUUUCCGUGGAGUUAUCCCUUCCGUUGUUGUUUAUUGAUUGUUAAACAUGGCUUCAUUUGCAAAGGUGGUUGUGUGUGUCCUCAUUGCCUUUGUCUGUAAUGCAUUCUGUUUUACGAAGAGAGAUGUGAACUUUAAGGCCUCUGCAGUUGACCGCCAAAGUGAUGAUGUGGUUGUCACCACAACACCCAAUCCCCACAACCAGACCACAUCUGCCCAUACUGAAGCUGGUGGUGAGCCAGUGAAGAUGCUGAGGACCGCCAAAGUGAUGAUAUGGUUGUCACCACAACACCCAAUCCCCACAACCAGACCACAUCUGCCCAUACUGAAGCUGGUGGUGCAAGUGAAGAUGCUGUGGCUACUACCCCAGCACCUAAUCCACACAACCAGACAACUUCUGCACAAACUGAAGUUACUGAUGGAGCCAGUGAAGAUGCUGAGGACCGCCAAAGUGAUGAUGUGGUUGUCACCACAACACCCAAUCCCCACAACCAGACCACAUCUGCCCCUACUGAAGCUGGUGAUGGAGCAAGUGAAGAUGCUGUGGCUACCACCCCAACACCAAAUCCCCCAACUACAUCUGACCACACUGCAGCUACCGAUGAUGCAAGUGAGGGUGCUGUGGCUGCCCAAACUGGAACUACUGUAUCCCAUACGACUGAAGUCUGAUUCGACUGCUCCUCUGGACACAAUGACCUGAGUCACUGUCUGGACUUUUUGCCUCUACAUGUUGACUGCAAUAAAGGACAGAUUUGUUGUUUUUAAUCAAAUGUUGUCUUGCCUUUUUCAAAUUGAGGCCUUGUCCUGUUUUGGUGGUGGAGAUGACUAUGAAGCCUCUUUCCUAACGUAUUUCCUGUAGUGGUUUUACUAUAUGCUUCAUGCAACAAGGCCUUCAACGACUCUACAAAUUGUGUCUGAAUUUGUAGAAUGGUUGAACUGGUAGUGAUGCACUAUAAUGGUGAACUGCUUGUGGCAUUUCAAAAAUCUCUACUGUACUGUUUGACAUGUACAUCUCAAGUGAAUUUGCGUGGUAAUUGGUAAACCGAUGUCCGUCCCUACUAAGGGAGUACUGGCCUUAGUAGGCUAACCCCCUGAAAGGCAUUCAAACAAUAACAGCCUAGUUGCGGCUGAGGGAACCUUGCCAUUGUGUUAACUGGUGUCUCUUGGCAAUACAGUUUACAAUGUUGUGCUGUGAAAGCUUUUCAUGCGUUUCAUGGGGUAUUUAGUCCCAGAGCAGCAGGGACCAAGUGCAUAGCCAGGAUGGGUAGUGGGACUCUCUCGUUCACAGGACCAUAUACAAUCAAAAUAGAAAUAUCAAAACUUGUCAAUCAAUGUAACGGCUAUAUAAAUGACAUACAGUGUAUGUACUUAACUUUUUAACACAG